UACGUAGGCAGCAAGCGUUGUUCGGAGUUACUGGGCGUAAAGAGUGCGUAGGUGGUGCCCUAAGUCUGUUGUGAAAUCUCCCGGCUCAACUGGGAGGGUGCGCCGAAUACUGAAUGACUCGAGUGCGGGAGAGGAGAGUGGAAUUCCUGGUGUAGCGGUGAAAUGCGUAGAUAUCAGGAGGAACACCGGUGGUGUAGACGGCUCUCUGGACCGUAACUGACGCUGAGACACGAAAGCGUGGGUAGCAAACAGG
rnacentral:rRNA from 1 species